AUUGAACGCUAGCGGGAGGCCUAACACAUGCAAGUCGAACGAGUGGCGGACGGGUGAGUAAUGUCUGGGAAAGUGCCUGGUAGAGGGGGAUAACUACUCGAAAGGGUAGCUAAUACCGCAUACCAUCGGAUGUGCCCAGAUGGGAUUAGCUAGUAGGUGGGGUAAAGGCUCACCAAGGCGACGAUCCGUAGCUGGUCUGAGAGGAUGACCAGCCACACUGGAACUGAGACACGGCCCAGACUCCUACGGGAGGCAGCAGUGGGGAAUAUUGGACAAUGGGCGCAAGCCUGAUGCAGCCAUGCCGCGUGUAUGAAGAAGGCCUUCGGGUUGUAAAGUACUUUCAGCGGGGAGGCGGUACCCGCAGAAUAAGCACCGGCUAACUCCGUGCCAGCAGCCGCGGUAAUAC
rnacentral:rRNA from 1 species